AGUUCGUCAUUACGCGAUACACAGAUUCAUCAUCCACAGUAUGUAGAUGAAUACCUGAAAGGAAUACGGCCCGGAUAAAUUAUUGAAUGAGAGAUUGAGACAACUUAGAAAGUCCAAGCUGGAUAUGCUAGGAGGGAUUCUACCCGAAAUCUUGUUGUUGGAUAGGGCAAGGGAUUCUAAAUUUUUUGUCACCAAUGUUUGAAGGUGUUGGAUGUUUUUGCGGAAGCGUGUGUGUGCAAGUGUGUAUGUGUGAAAUAUGGGCUACAAAGGCAAGGGUGUAUGGGUUAAAAAAAGAGAGCUUUUAUUAUGAAAUGUUUUAUAACAAAGGAAGGGUUUUGGAAGGAGUGUGUGUAGUUUUUUCUACAACUCAAAACACACACCCCAACCCCUAUUUAUAGGCGUGUCACCGCCAUUCUCCACCGAUAUUAGUACAAAAAAUAAUAUAAAAUUGUAGCUAGGAUCUUUGUCUCGGCUUCUCUCGAUUCUUGGAGUUACUUCUCCCUUAUUCUCCAUUUUUCUAUUCUUUGCAACUCCCAGCCACUUUUGUUGACUUUUCAACCAACUUCCAAGUGGCUUUCUUCCUUUAUAAUUAUACUUGCUGCCCACAUAGUUCCAGAAAAUUCUCCAACACAUGAGAGACUUCUUUUACUUGUACAAAUUGUUGCUGCCGACUUUGCUCCUUCUCCAUUAAGCAUGAGUAGUCUAGUGAGUUCUAGAGUUUUCACAAAAUGGAUCAUAUUUUAACAGAAGGGAUUUUCCCACUCAAAUUGUUUCGAGAGAGGUUCAAAUUCUGAAGUUCGACAAGCCUAGUCAACUCUUCUGAUAUUUCGCCAUUUAAAUUGUUUGCAGAAAGGUCAAUGGAAUGGAAGAAUCAGAGUGUCUUGUCAUAUAUUCGGCUAGUUCCCUUUGUAUUAACCAUGACUUUAAUCGAUGGUGAAUACAUCCAAUACGACUGAUAAUUGAUAUCUCCAACCAUGGACAAUAAUCCAUUAAAACACGACGGAAUGCUUCCGGAAAUGUUGUUCUGUGCUAGGCUUAAAAACUGGAGAUAAUUAAGUUGGCAGAGUUGCGAGGGAAUGCCUCCAGUGAAACUAUUCUUCUCAAGAUCGAUCACGACUAAUGAUCGAGAAUGUCGUCCAAAUGAAGGAAUUUCACCAGUGAAGUUAUUAUCACUUAGAUCAAGGAGGCGAAGGUUAGUUAGGUUGGACAAACAUUUGGGAAGCACUUGGUCGAAGCCAUUUUUAUGCAAGAUCAGAACUUCUAAUUGCUUCGUAUGGCAUAAAGAAUUAGUGAUCUGACCACUUAACCUGUUGUCACCCAGAAGAAUCUAUUCCAGUGCUUCCAACUUUUUCAGACAUAAGGGUAGUCUCCCAGAUAGUUGGUUCUUUGACAGAUCAAGACAAACCAGGUUCUUCAUUGCACAUAGCGAAUUUGGCAUGCUGCCACUGAGACCGUUACCAGAAAGACUCAGAAUUUGUAACAGUUGCAUCUUGUUUCCGUCCAAUCUGGAAAUGGGGCCUCUGAGCCUAUUGUUAUCGAGAGCCAGAUCUAUAACGUUAAGUGAAAUGUCGGAAAGCCAAUUGGGAAUUUCAUCUGAGAUGUUUGCAUUGGACAUGUACAAGUAUGAAAUAUUCCUCUGUGUUUAAAGCCACAGUGGAAAUUUCGGUCCCAGAUCACAACCUGACGUGUCAAUCCAUGGAACUCAGAAUGGAGGAACCCAGGCGGGAUCAAAACUUAAAACAAGUUCAUUAGACAAAUAAAUUCGGUCAGGCUCGUGAGAUUAGCAAAGUGCGAUUCACUAACAACUCCAUUCAAAGAAUUAUUUGUUAUGUCCAAUGUCUCUAGACUAGAUAGUCGCUCAAUUUGUUGUGGCUGAGAUCCUACUCUGUUAGAGAUGAUAGCUCCCCCAAAGUUACUGGAAUAGGUCUGCAAAUCGAGUUUUGUGACAGACUUAGGUACUCGAGAUCUUUGAAACUCUCCAAUUGGCUUGGUAGAAAACCACUGAAAUUAUUGGCAGUGAAAUCACAAAUCCUCAAGUUACUUUGUGCCGACUCCAAAGGACCAUGGAUGAUGUUCCCAACAUCUCCAUCAAAGUUAUUAAACGCCAACCUUAAUUCACGCAACUUGUAGAGACUGCUGAAGUUUUUCAGAAUUUGACCGCCUAGCAAAAUACGAGACACAUUGAGAAAGGAAACUUGUUGAUUAUUAUCAAAGAGUGUCCUGGGAAAUGUGCCUUUCAAAUUAUUUACUCUCAAAUCGAUAUGCUCGAGCUUGCUAAAGUUGUAGAACGAGGGAGGAAUAGUAGAAUUUAUUAAAUUCCAUGAUAGAUCUAGGAAUCUUAAAGAAGCGAAGGUGACGGAUAGAGAGUGAGGAAGUUUUUCGAGAGAACAACCCCUCAACUGCAAAGAUUGCACUGAAGAAAGCAUAUAAAUGGAACUAAACCAAUCUGUGGCAUUCAUAAGGCCAAUGCCAGAGAGGCGAAGGUAUUUUCAAGGAAGAUAAUUUCGACACCCAUUGGAGGUUAUCAGUUGUUAAAUAACCCCCGCCAAACCUACUAGCAAGAUCAAGAUACUGCAAGUUGGACAGGUUACCGAGGUGAUGUGGUAUGUUUCCGCCAAAACCUGCAGAUGAUAGAUUAAGAUACUCUAGUCUGGAGAGUACCAAAGAAUUGGGGGAUAUUUUGCUUGGAAAAUUUGUUGAGGCUGAGGUCUAGAUACUUCAAAUGCUUCAGUUCAGCCAAAGAUGCAUGGAUUUUACCUGCCAAAUUGCUCUUAGACAUGAGAUAUAUCUGUCGGGAGAGGUCUCAAAGCAUGGAUUGCGAAGAUCGAGUUUGAAAACAUGGCCAGUCUUUUUGCUGCAUUCAACUCCUUUCCACUCACAACAGUCCUUGCCAGUCCAUGAUGACAAGCGUUUAGAAUGGUCGACGAGAACUUGCCUGAAUUUCAAGAGAGCUUCUCUCUCUGUACCAAAGCAGCUCACAUUGGUGAAAGCUUUGGAAUGGCCAAACUCAAAUGAUUGAAACACAAGAAGAGUCCACAAUAUGAGGGGUACAAAGGCGGGGGCUGAUGCCAUUGCUUUCGAUAAUAUGGGAUUAGGAAAUGCAGUGUACUUCCUCCGUUUUAUGGUGACAUGGGUCUUGGGAAGGUCUUGAUUGAUUUUCAUCAAGAAAAGGACAUUAAUUAUUUCCUAUGGAUUUUGAUUUGGCCAUCACUGUCGAUCAAUGCUGUUACAUCCCAAAUCUUAACGGGAAAAUGGGAUGAAAUGGCUGUCAUUCCACCCAAAGGACGCAGCUUCUAACCACCCAAAUAUCAACUCCCAAAAGUCUCUAUCAAUAUUGCUCUCGCUCUAUUGUCUACUAACCGAUGAAUCUAAAAAUAUUAGGAAGGAAUGAGAUGAGCAACUAUAGCUCAGUGAAUAGUACAUAUCUUUUAUAAAUAGAUCGAGUAGCAACUAUGCAUUAAUGUAAGUAUAGAGCACUACUAAAAACUUAUAAUCCAACUCUUUAAUAUACAUGUAAAAUCACAUACGAGUCAUUUCACUCAACAAGCUUUACUACAAUUCAGAAAAUACUUAUUUAAAUCAUCAUAACCAUCAAUAGUCAAAUCCAUUGAUCAAUCUCAUUAAAGUCAUAUGCUAAUGGUCUACUAUAUUGAUCCAUUUCAUAUCAAAACAAACGUUGAUGGUCAAUUUAUCGAUCAAUCUUUUGUUUAAUAUCAAACUAUGGUCACAACACCACACCUUAUGACAAGGUGACCAAGAUUCCCCCUUGUAUUUACAAAGCCGAUAGCUUGAGCCAAAAGGGUAUCCUAAUCUAGUAUGUAUACUCACAAGCCCAUCAAUGGGAUCACGAUGAUAUUGAGCACUAAACCAACAUCCUCCAAUACCAACAAUUAAAUCCACAAUCAAUAUCAGCAAUUGAUUUCACAAAACAAAAUGCAUAAUCUUUCUAAACUUGGUUCAUCAAACAGAACACAUUUCACGUGACAUUUCUCUCAUCAUCUCAAAAUUCUUCAUAAACCAAAUUCACAAAUCGAUAUGUAUAACUUUUCAAAAUUUCUCUCAUAAAAAGUUUCUCAAAACAUCUUUCAUGAAACGUUUCUUAAAUCGUUAUACAACUCAUUUCAUAAACUAAUUUUACAAAUCAUAUACAACGUUUCACAAUGCCUUUACUAAAACAUUUCUCAAACCAUUUACAAUUACCAAAAAUUAGUAAAUGGCCGAUCCAGAUUUUAUGCAACAAACAUACUUAUUAAUAACUCAUAAUAUAUCAAAUCUUCAUUGCUUUUCAAAUGUGAGUUUACAAAAUCAUAGAAAAGAUAGUACUACUUACCUCUAAAUGCCUACGGCCAAACAACAAAUGUUACUCGGAUUGUCAAACUCGUGAAUCUAUCAAAUAAUCAAGAAACGAUGUUAAAAUUGACUAAAACGCUACCUCAACUACAAAAUGGUUAAACUAUGCAUAAAUGCUAACAAACGAUUCAUACACACUAAGAUUGUGCACCCAAAACGAUUAUUCAAGCCAUUUGCAAAGGAAAACUUGGACAUGAAAUCCUAAAAUUUCGCUCUAACUAAACCGUUGCUUGAAAUCAAUUUUAGCUUCCAUGAAAUCCUAGAGCUCCACGGCUCUAGAAUCAGACUUUGCAGCACAAUUUUCACUAAACUUUGAAUUUGAGCCAUGAUUUUGAAAACUACUCCGAUUAGAUGAAUGAAAUGUGUAGGUACUUACCAAACGCUACGAUAUGAAGUCAAAUCAGCUUGAUGAUGCCCUAGGAUGUGAACACGCAAAGCCCUCUCUCUCCUCUUUCCUUUUCUUCUUCUUUUCAUUUCCUCUUUUUCUUUUCCUUUCCUCUUUCCUUUUCUUUCCGUUUGUGUGAGUCUCGGC
rnacentral:lncRNA from 1 species